rnacentral:rRNA from 1 species
CUUGUCCUACGGGGCGCAGCAGUGAGGGAUAUUGGUCAAUGGGGGAAACCCUGAACCAGCAACGCCGCGUGAGGGAAGACGGUUUUCGGAUUGUAAACCUCUGCCCUCUGUGAAGAUAAUGACGGUAGCAGAGGAGGAAGCUCCGGCUAACUACGUGCCAGCAGCCGCGGUAAUACGUAGGGAGCGAGCGUUGUCCGGACUUACUGGGUGUAGAGGGUGCGUAGGCGGCCCUGCAAGUCAGAAGUGAAAUCCAUGGGCUCAACCCGUGAACUGCUUUUGAAACUGCAGGACUUGAGUGGAGUAGA